AUUGAACGCUGGCGGCAGGCCUAACACAUGCAAGUCGAGCGGAGUGGCGUACGGGUGAGUAAUGCCUAGGAAUCUGACCGGCAGCGGGGGAUAACGUCCCGAAACGGGCGCAAAUACAGCAUACCAUCAGAUUAGCAUAGGUCGGAUUAGCUAGUUGGUGGGGUAAAGGCCUACCAAGUCGACGAUCCGUAACUGGUCUGAGAGGAUGAUCAGUCACACUGGAAGUGAGACACGGUCCAGACUCCUACGGGAGGCAGCAGUGGGGAAUAUUGGACAAUGGGCGAAAGCCUGAUCCAGCCAUGCCGCGUGUGUGAAGAAGGUCUUCGGAUUGUAAAGCACUUUAAGUUGGGAGGCGUUACCAACAGAAUAAGCACCGGCUAACUUCGUGCCAGCAGCCGCGGUAAUAC
rnacentral:rRNA from 1 species